UACGAAGGGGGGCGAGCGUUGUUCGGAUUUACUGGGCGUAAAGGGCGCGCAGGCGGCUAGUUUUGUCGAGUGUGAAAGCCCCGGGCUUAACCUGGGAACUGCGCUCGAAACGGGCUGGCUAGAGAUCGGGAGAGGAGAGUGGAAUUCCCAGUGUAGAGGUGAAAUUCGUAGAUAUUGGGAAGAACACCGGGUGGCGAAGGCGGCUCUCUGGACCGAUACGUGACGCUGAGGCGCGAAAGCGUGGGGAGCAAACAGGG
rnacentral:rRNA from 1 species